rnacentral:rRNA from 1 species
GAUGAACGCUGGCGGCGUGCCUAAUACAUGCAAGUCGAGCGAACGGACGAGAAGCUUGCUUCUCUGAUGUUAGCGGCGGACGGGUGAGUAACACGUGGAUAACCUACCUAUAAGACUGGGAUAACUUCGGGAAACCGGAGCUAAUACCGGAUAAUAUUUUGAACCGCAUGGUUCAAAAGUGAAAGACGGUCUUGCUGUCACUUAUAGAUGGAUCCGCGCUGCAUUAGCUAGUUGGUAAGGUAACGGCUUACCAAGGCAACGAUGCAUAGCCGACCUGAGAGGGUGGACGGCCAGACUGGAACUGAGACACGGUCCAGACUCCUAAGGGAGGCCGCAGUAGGGAAUCCUACGCAAUGGGCGAAAGCCUGACGGAGCAACGCCGCGUGAGUGAUGAAGGUCUUCGGAUCGUAAAACUCUGUUAUUAGGGAAGAACAUAUGUGUAAGUAACUGUGCACAUCUUGACGGUACCUAAUCAGAAAGCCACGGCUAACUACGUG